rnacentral:lncRNA from 10 species
CCUGACCUCAGGUGAUCUGCCUGCCUUGGCCUCCCAACACUGCUACUUUUAAAAUCUUUUCUAUUUUCAAGCAGCAGCAGCUGCUGGCAGGUUUUUCUCCAAAUGACCUUUAUUUUGUCUCUAACAAAGUGGAUGGCUUUCUGGGAAAAUUCCUGAUGUGGGUGCGGGGGAACAAGUCGGGCAGGUCCCUUCUUCCUGCAGGGUCCUUGUUUCUCCCGGCAGUUUGUACUCCUUUGCCUGGGAACCAGGCAGUGGCCCCCCCUGGAUACCAGAGCUGAGCAAGCCCCCCGAUCCACUUUUCUUGGAAGCCCUGGGGCUUACCGCCUGAACUUGAUUUUGUCAGUAUUACGCUCGCAAAGCUGUUUUAUUGACUGACAACGUGGAAUGCAAUAAAUGUUCGAGACAUCUGCACCCAGCAAUCGUUUUCUCUGUAGGCAGGUUGCCAGGAAGGCCACGACCCGCUCAAGCUCCUCUCGUGACGAGGACGCCACCUGAAACAGUCGGGCUGCAGUCGCCGCCGUCCUCCGGCUCCCACUCUGCUGGGGUCUCCCUGCUGACCCGGCUUCCCCAGCGCCUCCGGUUCUUCCCAGCCCGAUCUCUCUCCACUGUCAUCCUCAGUGCCAGCCUGUCUCCCACGCCAGCUCGUAAACUCCAGGGUGGCGACUUUGUCUCACUUUCUUUUGUGUUCUGAGCACCUGACCUGGGCAGCCCUGAAGGCAGCUGUGUGAGGGUGAGUCUGCUCACGUGCCUACCCUAUGAUGAGGUGUCCUGCUCACCUGUGGGGUCAUGCAGGGCCGCUGCUCCCCUAAUGCGAUCCCAUAAACAGUGCAGAGGUUGUCUCGGGGCUCUCGCAGCUGCUACGUGGCGCCUCCGCUGAGCGUCACCCAGAGGGCAGCAGCGAAGGAGGGGCCGAGCUCUCCACCUCCUGCUCCCUCUCCUCUCUAACUUUUCCUGCUGCCGUUCUCUUCCUGGGGCUGGGGCUGAAACCCUGGCAUCAUUAUCUCUGCAAACUCAUCUCUGUAAAUGCCCAGGCAGGCGUUCUCCCUCCUCCCACCCACGGACCCCCGCUUAGUCCAGCUCUUACCUGGGUUCUUGCAGAAACUUCCUAACAGGUGUGUCCAGGAAGCACUUCAGAUGUUUUCUCUGCUGCUUCUGGUUAUCUUUUAAAUCAGAGAUGGGGGAGUCAGGCCCCAUUUAAACGUCUCCUGGAGCCGAGUGGGAGGACAGCUCUUGGGCGUUGCCUGGGCUGGUGGGGCCAGCUCCCUCCUGACUGCCCCGCUGUCUGCCAAGAGCAUUUUUCCCAUUUUUCCAGAGUCCAGGCGGUGGCCAUGACCCCCGAGCACGCCAGGCGUUAUCCCAGCUGAGCCUCCAGAGUCUCUGGGCUUUCUUCAUAGGUGCUGGGGCAGUCACUCUCAGCCACGACAGGGACACACGAGGCCCACCUCCCAGGAGAAAGCGCCUCUUUCCUCGCCUUUCUGGCCCCAGAGAAAUACAACUUUCAAGAAAGAGUUUGUUCAUGACAAAGUGAGACAGAGUUAAGAGAGAAACUCAGGAUUCAAGGUGAAGAUGUCAGAUGCGCUUGGAUGUGGGAGGAAAGAUCCACCCUGGCCCUCAGUGGAGAGUUCUGACAGUGGUGGGUGCCACUGGGGCUAGGUCCUUUGUGCUGUGGCAGCACCAUCUCCCCCAACCUGCUGCAACUGGGGCUCAGCUGCCUUUUCCAGAGAUCGUGGGGGGUCGCCUCAACUGCGGGGUCACCUGUCCCAACCACUCUCAGCCAAUGACUGACAGACGGGCUCUGGGCUGGGGCCUCUGGGCCUCCAUGAGGGACCUACUCUACAAUUGACACAUCAGGGCAGACAUUGUAGGAUGUGAAUCACUGCAGGGGGAGGAUGCCUGGCAGUGAGACUGUCUGUCCCAGGAGACAGGAAUCCUCACAUUUCCCAGACAAGGCCAAAUUGGGUGUGUGGGAUUUUCUACAAAGUUUUAAAGAAAAAAAAUUUUUAUUCUGAAAUUAUCCUAAUUGUGGUAUUAAAAUGUCAUUUAUUUAUUUAUUUUGAGAUGGAGUCUCACUCUGUCACCCAGGCUGGAGUGCAGUGGCACCAUCUCAUCUCACUGCAACCUCCGCCUCCCCAGGUUCAAGCAAUUCUCAUGCCUCAGCCUCCCAGGUAGCUGGGACUACAGGUGUACAGGUGCGUGUCAUCAGGCCUGGCUAAUUUUUGUAUUUUUAGUAGAGAUGGCAUUUCGCCAUGUUGCUUAGGCUGGUCUCAAACUCCUGACCUCAAGUGAUCCGCCUGCCUCAGCCUCCCAAAGUGCUAGGAUUAAAGGUGUGAGCCACUGCACCCAGCCAAAAUGUUUUUUCUUUAAUCCAGUAAUGGUGAUUAAAAAUCCUUGCUUAACAAAAGAAAAAGUUGGUCACAUACGUCAGUCCUCAAAUGUGUUCUGAAACAUUCAUGGGCGUACCUCCUAGAGGCUGUGAGCCACGGCUCUGCAGGCAUCUGGCUCAGUCCCCCUCUCCGGCUCCCCUGGCCCCCACUUUGGCAGCUCUUCCUGGGCUGUGAUUUUGUUUCUGCAGAGUGGCCACCAUUCUGCAGAAACGGUCAUACCCUCUGGGACCCUCUGCCUCACAGAGGCCCCCACGUUCCUGGGCCCUCCCUAAGGGGAGCCUUGUUUCUCCGAGGAGAUCUUGGGCUCACCGGUUAUGUUUCAGGGACCCACAGGACAGGAUUCCUGGCUCUAGUGUUUAGAAACACACUUGAGAGAGCCAGGUUGAAAGCUCUCCCUGGGUGCGUGACCACACUUAGGUGGUGAAGGUGGGGACGCCUGCAUGGGCGCUGGGGGGCUCAUGCACAGCUGGCCACCCUCAUCCCUGGUUUGUCAGCGCAGACCCCUGGGAAGCCUCCUCGCCUGCUGUGGUCUCUCUUCUAAGCAUCUUCAGUGGUGCAGUGGCUCAGGCUCUCACUGUGCUCAAGAUGCAGGCUGAACGUCACACUCAGGCUAAGGCCAAGCCCCCCACCUCCCCACACCACCCACCCCUGUCUAGUGAGGACGUGCUACUCUAGCUAAGUCCCUACCAUCCUCCUCGUCCACCAUGGCUGGCAGAAUCACAUCUCAGAACUAAAAUGUAGAAGUUGAUUUUCAGCAUAAAGAGCUUGUUUCCACACAUCUCAAGAUUAGGAAGUGACUUGUACUUGGAGAGAUAAAUGUUGACUUUUCAUGGAGAAAAUGGACAAGGUCCUCUCCUACUGGCCUGGCCCUAGGCUAGUUGAUCUCUUCGGUGAGAUCUGGGAUGUGGGGGACUGGGACGUGGGUCCUGCUCCCCUCUGCUCCAGGCACACAGCUGGCCAGAGGCUGGUGCUGCAGGAGCUGGCGUGGGUGCGGCCCCCAUGAGCCCUCACUGCCCUGGCCUGUCCCAGCCCUGCAUGGUGGAGGCUGCCCUGCCCUGCAGGAACAUGUGGCUUCCUCUUGGCUGCUCCAGCUUGCUUGGUGCUGUGGUUUGAAUGUGUCCCCCAGUUUCAUAGGCUGGAAACUUACUCCCCAUAGUCACAUGUUGAUUGGAGGUGGGGCCUUUGGGAGGUAACUAGGAUUAGAUGAGGACAUCAGGAUGGGACCCGAUGGGGGAUGUGGCCUUAUGAGAAAAGGAAGGGAGACCUGAGCUGGUAUACGUGCUCUCUCACCAUGGGACACCUUCCGUCAUGGGAUGAUGCUGCAGGAGGGCUCUCACCGGAUACGGCCACUCGACUUUGGACUUCCCAACCUCCAGAACUGCGCAAAAUAAAUUUUUCUUUAUAAACGGCCCAGUCUGUGGUGUUCUGUUAUAGAAACACAAAACAGACUAAGACACUUAGUUCUCCUGAUGUCCCCUACAGCCUGUCUUCCUGCAGUUCCUGAGUGCUUGGCCUCCUUGGCCUUUGCAGGUCAUGGUGGGCUCCUUGUAGGGCCCAGCCUUUCCUGGUUUCCCCGUCCAGCAUCCACCUGUUGCCUGGAGCCAACCCCAUCUGCAGUUGGAUAGUGGUGGUGCCCCCACUUCAUGCUGGCUCCCAAAAGAGACUUACUUGCGUCUUAAAGCAAAACCAGUAUUAAAAUUCUGCCCUACUCUUGUUGUAUCUUAAGGGCUUACGUGAAACACUUUUUUUUGUUUUUGGAAUCGCAUUGAAUGCAAAAUGGGCCCAGUUGGAGGGCGCUAGCCAGGGCGGGAACUUGUGGGUACCAGGUUAAUUGGGGUUCUGGUUGUGGAGGGAGAAAAAAGGACCUGACUUUCAUCCCAACCACUUACCUGUGCAGGUGCCACCUGCCUGUCUGCUCAGCCAACCGACCCAGAGCAUGAACUGGUUAUUUGCACAAUGGAAGUGAAAGAGGGAAAAGGUGCUAGAGGCAGAAAUUGAUUCAUUGGCAAGGAGACCUUCAGCUUUGACAAUUUUCUCAAGGAGGCAAAGGAUGAAAGUGCUUAGCCCACAAGAAAAAUCAUCUGAUUAAGCUGGGGUUUAAAAUAAAGCAAGAACUUCACAGUAUCUCUCACAUCAAGGGACUAGUUCUCACACCUGUUUUUGGGAGAGCUGGUGAAAGGAGGAAGGAGAUGGUACCUUGAGGAAAAGCCACCUUUGGGAGAUUCUGAGCAGUUGCUAAGUGUCCCCUGGCCCUGGAGCCGGCACCUACCUUCUGCCCACUCGGACAGUGCAGUGAGUCAGAGACGGCACAGGUGGAAUGAGACUAACUGUGGCCCCACCCUGGCCGGCAGCCCUGUGUUGCAGAGCAUAGCACAGCCAGCAGGUGCCUGGGAGCACAGUGGGGAGGAGGGGAGGAUGCCCACCUGUAGCUGUGACUGCUUUUCCUGGUGGUGGGGGAGGGAGAGUGUUCAUAUGGACCCAGGCCUGGGGCACUGGCCGUGUAUUUAUCCACAGAGGGACCAGGAGAUGCAGGAGCCCUCCUAGUCUCCCCCUGCACCGCCCUCACCACCCACCCCCAUGAGGAAGGGGCCGUCCCAGAAGAUGCUAAGAGGCUCAGCCCCUCCUCCAUGGAGUUUGGGAAGGUGACAGUGUUAAGCUCCCCCACCUCCCAGAAGGAAUCCGGUUCCCAAACUGGGAGAUGGUCCUGAUUACCACGGAGCAAUUAAGCAAGCUGCGGAGGAGAAGCCGUAGUGAAGACCCUCCCCACGCAUGCUGUGUUUGCUCAUAGGAGCAGGGGCAUGAAAGGUUUUGUAACAACAAAAAAGAAAGCUGGCUCCAAGUGUGGAAAGAAAGCAGAGGAAGGAACGGGUGGGGACCCUGUUGGCAGCUCUCCCUGAGGACGGGCCAGGAUGGGGGGUCCUGGGGUCUGGGAUUCUGACCCCAAUCUUUAGAGCAGUCCCUAAGCCCCUUGCUCGCAGGGAGUGAAGCACCAGCAGGCAUGGCUGCCAGGUCAGCAGACAGCCGACUCGGCUUCCUCGAUGGGCAGCUUGCCCCGAUGUCACGGCUGGCAUUCACCGUGGCCCAUGAAGGCGGUGGAGAGUGCCCCACAGGAGCAAUCUGCCGCCAAAGGGGACGUGACGCCUGCCAGGAAUGCCCAGCACACACCCAGUCUCGGGGCACCUGCCCUCACAGCUGGGGGGCGUCACCUAUGUGCCCCGAAUGUAGUAGAUCAUGUGGUGCCUGCACCAAGGCCGUGGCAUGAAAUUCAAUAAAAUUUCCCCAAAUUCAUUGUUCAGUCAUGACUCAUUUCCAAGGAAAGGAGUGAAAUCCACCCUUCUUCCUUUGUUCUUUCUUCCUCCUUUGAAAGUGUCCCCAUGGAGAAGCCCCCACUCCUACAGUCUUGAGAAAGAGCCUCUCACACACUCACACCCAUUCCCACACACAGACACACUCAUACACACACACAUAUUCCCACACACACUCACAUUCCCCCCACACACUCACACCCAU